CAUGGGGAAACAGGUAGAGCAUAUCUUAGAAGUGCCUCUGACAGAUACGAUUCUAAACAAGCCAGCUUUGAGCAUGGUGGAAUGUCAGUUUGCUCAGAAAGAGCCGUCCAGAAGUUAAGUUCAGAGCCUUUAUAAAGGUGUUAAUUAAUUCAAGUACUUUGGGAUCCUGUUCUGGGUGGUGAACGAAGCGUCUUCUUUGAGAGCGAGAUGUCCUCGGGAUUUGAGGUAGGUACAAAUACUCAUGGUUAGUUAACAAAACCAAGAGAAAAUAUCAAGAAAACGAACAGAAAACGAACAGAAAACAAGACAGGAGCAAAUUCGAGCCGAGGCGAAACUGAGUGAAUGGUCGAUGGAUGAUCCGUAUGGAGAUGUA
rnacentral:sRNA from 1 species